AUUGAACGCUGGCGGCAUGCCUUACACAUGCAAGUCGAACGGCAGCGCGGGGCAACCUGGCGGCGAGUGGCGAACGGGUGAGUAAUAUAUCGGAACGUACCCUGGAGUGGGGGAUAACGUAGCGAAAGUUACGCUAAUACCGCAUACGAUCUAAGGAUGAAAGUGGGGGAUCGCAAGACCUCAUGCUCCUGGAGCGGCCGAUAUCUGAUUAGCUAGUUGGUAGGGUAAAANCCUACCAAGGCAUCGAUCAGUAGCUGGUCUGAGAGGACGACCAGCCACACUGGAACUGAGACACGGUCCAGACUCCUACGGGAGGCAGCAGUGGGGAAUUUUGGACAAUGGGCGCAAGCCUGAUCCAGCAAUGCCGCGUGAGUGAAGAAGGCCUUCGGGUUGUAAAGCUCUUUUGUCAGGGAAGAAACGGGUUUUUCUAAUACAGAGAUCUAAUGACGGUACCUGAAGAAUAAGCACCGGCUAACUACGUGCCAGCAGCCGCGGUAAUACGUAGGGUGCAAGCGUUAAUCGGAAUUACUGGGCGUAAAGCGUGCGCAGGCGGUUUUGUAAGACUGUCGUGAAAUCCCCGGGCUCAACCUGGGAAUGGCGAUGGUGACUGCAAGGCUAGAGUUUGGCAGAGGGGGGUAGAAUUCCACGUGUAGCAGUGAAAUGCGUAGAUAUGUGGAGGAACACCGAUGGCGAAGGCAGCCCCCUGGGUCAAAACUGACGCUCAUGCACGAAAGCGUGGGGAGCAAACAGGAUUAGAUACCCUGGUAGUCCACGCCCUAAACGAUGUCUACUAGUUGUCGGGUUUUAAUUAACUUGGUAACGCAGCUAACGCGUGAAGUAGACCGCCUGGGGAGUACGGUCGCAAGAUUAAAACUCAAAGGAAUUGACGGGGACCCGCACAAGCGGUGGAUGAUGUGGAUUAAUUCGANGCAACGCGAAAAACCUUACCUACCCUUGACAUGGCAGAAAUCCUCGAGAGAUUGAGGAGUGCUCGAAAGAGAAUCUGCACACAGGUGCUGCAUGGCUGUCGUCAGCUCGUGUCGUGAGAUGUUGGGUUAAGUCCCGCAACGAGCGCAACCCUUGUCAUUAGUUGCUACGUAAGAGCACUCUAAUGAGACUGCCGGUGACAAACCGGAGGAAGGUGGGGAUGACGUCAAGUCCUCAUGGCCCUUAUGGGUAGGGCUUCACACGUCAUACAA
rnacentral:rRNA from 1 species